AUGAAGGAUCCUUAACCGGGAGCUUUGGUUCGCAUUCCCAUUUCCAACACAGCCUCCAGAGACCACGGGUGUGUGCAUAACCUGGGAAGAGGAAAGGCUCCACAGGUGAGAUGGAGAAGCUGCACAGCCCAAAUCACUGAAACCCAAAGAAUUAAUCAGGUGAAGUUACACUGUGAGCAGAACCCAAGCCUUGAUUACAGCCUGUCAUCAAGGGAACCACAGAACUUGGACCAAAAAAAAAAAAAUAUUACAAGAGGCUUAGCAUUUAAUGCUCUAAAGUAGUAAAUCCACAGCAAAUCCUCCUGAAUCUAAAUAUGCCUAAGACAUAUUUUAACUUAUUUUCUAAAGUUUUCUCGAAUGCCAUCUCACACUCCCAAACUAAGCUCCACUGUUGCUUUUGCUUUCUCAGUAGUAUGCAAAUCCCAUGCCUCGAGUGCCCUUUUGGCAUCCCAAAAGCUCCUUCCAAUAAACAGUAAGCAAGCCAUUUAUUUGGAUUUAUCUCCCUUUUUAAACUCAAGUAACCCGCAAGUGUCUUCUGAUAAUUUUUUAGAAUUUUUGGGGGGCAGUUCAAAAAGGUUUGCUUAGAUAUUAUGCAUGUUACAGAUACAUAAUUUUACCCCUUAAAACUAGAAUGACCUCCUGCAGGUUUUAGUAACAAAAAAAAAAAGAAAUACACCUCCCCACUUGUGCACAUUGAGUCUGAACAAAAAAGUCAACAGCUGCUGUGAUCUACCUAAAUAUAAGUUUUAAUUCUUGGUGGUUUAGAUUUAAAUUAAGUAGAGACUUACCCAGUGUGGAAAUUAAUUAAUUUUUCUCCACUGGUGCCUUUUCAUUUUCCUACCAGAGUCCACAUGCACCUUGGGAUCACCUUCUGGCUUAUUUCUCCUAAGACUGGUGUGAAAGCUCAGCUUGGUCAAAAGCCUGCCUGGGUUUUUGGCAAAACCAAGGGUGUCAGUGGAAAACAACCCCAGUCCACAUGGGAAGAAAAUAAUCCCAGUUAUAACAUGAAAUGGAAGUUUUACCAACGCCUCUGGACCAAAAGAAAACAAGCAGCUGUAACAUCACUUACUUCCACAAGAGAAUUCCCACUGCAAACUGAUGGAGCUCCUACAGAUUCCGGAUAGGAAGAGGAGAGCCACACACAGCAAAUACACCCGGAGCAGCCGUCCCUUCCCUUCCCUUCUGAGCCAGGCAAACAAACACCUGACCACGCUACAUCCCUGGAAACACGGUGCUCUACUGGCAGACAGGGAAAAACAGCCUUUAAAAAACGAAAACAAGCUCUAUCAGUAAAAGUGCACUUCGGCAGAUAAACUGCUCCUGCAGCUGGGACUUCUGCUGGCACAGCUCUGUCGGUCACGGGUCACACUCCGGCACCGCGCGCGCAGACAGAGCUGUGCCAGCAGAAGUUUGCCAUGCAAACCUGGGGGGAAACUCGGGAGCCACUAACGUGGAUCUGCAAAGGCCUGUGUUUUUCCAGCAGUCUGACGACGAGGAGCCUGUCUUACCCCUGGCACGUGAAUCUCUUGCUUCCAAGCACAGAAGAAAACUGGACUUCACACAGGAACACGGCACUGCCUGUGAGCCAUUUACACUGCACUUUAUCCUUCAAUUAAAUACACAGACUGAGCGAGGAAGAGCCCCCGUAGGAAGGGAAGAUAAAAGGGAAUAAAUUAAGUUGUGCCGUACUUCAGCCCUUGGAGCAGCCCGCCCUCACUUUUAACAGUAAGAAGGGAACAAAGCUGAAAGUGUUUAACGGGAUUUGUUUAGCAGACAGCAGAGCAUUGCAGAAUUUCCACUGCUCCGUGAAACCCAACAGCUGAACUGUAACAGGACUUUUGGCAUCUUCAAAAAUCCCCGGAGGAGAUUUAAUGCCCGAGUUGGUGCUCAGGGAGAAGUUCUGUUUGGGUGAGCCCACACGACACUGCGGAUCGUUAUUCCAGAGCACGGAGCAGCGAGAUGUCAGGAGCGCGCGCGCUGCCCAUCUGCUCCGGAGAGAAAUUAUAAAAUCAAGCUGGAAGUAACCUCCCACCACCCUCUGGGAGGGGAAGGAAAGCCACGGAGAAGGGCUACGUCCAGGAAGUUGGGUCAGGCUGCGGUGCAAAGCAAACCUCAACCGUCCAGCACGUGGGAGAGGGACGUUUGGCAGCACAAAUUUCCCCAUUUUCCACAGAAGUCAAGUCACUGGCAGUCCUGCCUUUGUAGAGGCCGUGCUCCGCCUUCCUCAGAGCUUUCUGGCCCUCCAAAGCGGGACACAGCUUCUAGGAAUUCCCUGGGUUGUGUCACGCUGUCGUUAGAAAUAAUGUACUAUUUUUUUUUUUUUUAAAAAUAAACACACGAACAUCA